UUCUAAGGGCGUUGAAGCAUGAUCGCAAGGACAUGUGGAGCGCUUAGAAGUGAGAAUGCCGGUGUGAGUAGCGAAAGACGGGUGAGAAUCCCGUCCACCGAUUGACUAAGGUUUCCAGAGGAAGGCUCGUCCGCUCUGGGUUAGUCGGGUCCUAAGCUGAGGCCGACAGGCGUAGGCGAUGGAUAACAGGUUGAUAUUCCUGUACCACCAUUAUUCGUUUUAAGCGAUGGGGGGACGCAGUAGGAUAGGCGAAGCGUGCUGUUGGAGUGCACGUCCAAGCAGUGAGAUUGAGUGUUAGGCAAAUCCGGCACUCUUAAGAUUGAGCUGUGAUGGGGAGAGGAACUUGUUCCUCGAGUCGUUGAUUUCACACUGCCGAGAAAAGCCUCUAGCUAGAAUAACGGUGCCCGUACCGCAAACCGACACAGGUAGUCAAGAUGAGAAUUCUAAGGUGAGCGAGCGAACUCUCGUUAAGGAACUCGGCAAAAUGACCCCGUAACUUCGGGAGAAGGGGUGCUCUUUGAGGUUCACGCUUCGAAGAGCCGCAGUGAAUAGGCCCAAGCGACUGUUUAUCAAAAACACAGGUCUCUGCUAAACCGUAAGGUGACGUAUAGGGGCUGACGCCUGCCCGGUGCUGGAAGGUUAAGAGGAGUGGUUAGCGCAAGCGAAGCUACGAAUCGAAGCCCCAGUAAACGGCGGCCGUAACUAUAACGGUCCUAAGGUAGCGAAAUUCCUUGUCGGGUAAGUUCCGACCCGCACGAAAGGCGUAACGAUUUGGGCACUGUCUCAACGAGAGACUCGGUGAAAUCAUAGUACCGGUGAAGAUGCCGGUUACCCGCGACAGGACGGAAAGACCCCGUGGAGCUUUACUGUAGCCUGAUAUUGAAAUUCGGUACAGUUUGUACAGGAUAGGUAGGAGCCUUAGAAGCGUGAGCGCUAGCUUACGUGGAGGCAUUGGUGGGAUACUACCCUAAUUGUAUUGGAUUUCUAACCCGCAGCACUUAUCGUGCUGGGAGACAGUGUCAGGCGGGCAGUUUGACUGGGGCGGUCGCCUCCUAAAGAGUAACGGAGGCGCUCAAAGGUUCCCUCAGAAUGGUUGGAAAUCAUUCAUAGAGUGUAAAGGCAUAAGGGAGCUUGACUGCGAGACCUACAAGUCGAGCAGGGUCGAAAGACGGACUUAGUGAUCCGGUGGUUCCGCAUGGAAGGGCCAUCGCUCAACGGAUAAAAGCUACCCCGGGGAUAACAGGCUUAUCUCCCCCAAGAGUUCACAUCGACGGGGAGGUUUGGCACCUCGAUGUCGGCUCAUCGCAUCCUGGGGCUGUAGUCGGUCCCAAGGGUUGGGCUGUUCGCCCAUUAAAGCGGUACGCGAGCUGGGUUCAGAACGUCGUGAGACAGUUCGGUCCCUAUCCGUCGUGGGCGUAGGAAAUUUGAGAGGAGCUGUCCUUAGUACGAGAGGACCGGGAUGGACAUACCUCUGGUGUACCAGUUGUCGUGCCAACGGCAUAGCUGGGUAGCUAUGUAUGGACGGGAUAAGUGCUGAAAG
rnacentral:rRNA from 1 species